UUGGUCUUGAUGUUUGUUCUCAGACGGAAGCAUGUGAAUAUUUUUGAUCAGGUGAUGUUUAGAUCGCCGAUGAAAGGAAAGUGGUGACAAAGGUGAGAAUCUGUGGGUGGAGUGGAGUAUAAAGACAGUCGUGAAGACAGACAGACAGACAGACAGUCAAAGAGAUAUCUCAGGACAGACAGAGCUUUGAGGUCAAGGUGAAGAAGACACAGUGAAAAUGAACGUCAAACACAUUCUGUGUGCUGUCGCUUUGACCCUCGUUCUCUUCUGCCAGGGUGGUCAGUCAGACUCAGGCUAUGGUCACGCGGUCAUGUACGACGACCACGAAGAGCACGAUGACGGCGGCAGCGUGUUCGGCGCGGCCAGCGCCCUCCACGUCUCCCACGUGUCCGCCGUCGGCGUCCUGCUGCUGUCGCUCUACGCACUGAUCCACGCGUGACAGGAAACAAGACAUUCACUGUCUGAAUGUACGUCCACGGAGGAAGAGGAGGAAACAUUUACGUGUCUAUCAAACACACACCUGCUAUAAUCAGAAAUGGGAUGGGGCUUGAAUUAGUGAUUAUGGGAUGCAACGCUGCAACGUUUUCAUUGUGUUGAUAUUGUAUCGAUCGGUUUUUGCUUUUGUGUUUAAGCCUCCGACCACUAGGUGGCAGCAGAUCUUUGAAGAUUGGGACAGACUGACACGUCUAUGUAUCAAUUUUGGCAAUAAUUCAUGGUACAGUUGUCCUGCUUCUAUUCCACGUCUGACAUUUACCCAUAAACAUCAUACUGUGGACUGUUAAGGUGUCGUGACAUUGUUACGUCCCUACUUUAAAUAAACGCACGGUGCUGUCUGAAUGCUUA